rnacentral:sRNA from 1 species
AUUUAUUUGUUUUCGAGUCCUUAGACUUCGAGGCAAGAGAUAGCUAUAACUCAUCUCUCAAGCAGCGAACGACCAUAUUAAAUGUGAUUCUCUACCUCUUCAAUUCAAACAUUAAAUUCAAACA